rnacentral:rRNA from 1 species
UACAGAGGUCUCAAGCGUUGUUCGGAUUCAUUGGGCGUAAAGGGCUCGUAGGCGGUUUGUCGCGUCGGGAGUGAAAAUCCAGGGCUUAACUCUGGACUGGCUUUCGAUACGGGCAGACUAGAGGUAUGCAGGGGAGAACGGAAUUCCUGGUGUAGCGGUGAAAUGCGCAGAUAUCGGGAGGAACACCGGUGGCGAAGGCGGUUCUCUGGGCCUUACCUGACGCUGAGGAGCGAAAGCGUGGGGAGCGAACAGG